UACGGAGGGUGCAAACGUUGCUCGGAAUCAUUGGGCGUAAAGCGCACGUAGGCGGCUCAGCAAGUCGGGUGUGAAAGCCCUCGGCUCAACCGAGGAAGUGCAUUCGAAACUACUGAGCUUGAAUACUGGAGAGGAUCGCGGAAUUCCCGGUGUAGAGGUGAAAUUCGUAGAUAUCGGGAGGAACACCGGUGGCGAAGGCAGCUCACUGGGACGAUACUGACGCUGAGACGCGAAAGCGUGGGGAGCAAACAGG
rnacentral:rRNA from 1 species